GCCAGGUGUGGUGGCUCACACCUGUAAUCCCAGCACUUUGGGAGGCCGAGAUGGGUGGAUCACUUGAGGCCAGGAGUUAGAGACCAGCCUGGCCAACAUGGUGAAACCCCAUCUCUA
rfam:Pan troglodytes isolate Yerkes chimp pedigree #C0471 (Clint) chromosome 11, whole genome shotgun sequence.